rnacentral:sRNA from 1 species
UACAUGCCGGACCACAGCUGUUGUUAUC